UACGGGAGGCAGCAGUGGGGAAUAUUGGACAAUGGGCGAAAGCCUGAUCCAGCAAUGCCGCGUGAGUGAUGAAGGCCUUAGGGUUGUAAAGCUCUUUUACUGGGGAUGAUAAUGACAGUACCCAGAGAAUAAGCUCCGGCUAACUCCGUGCCAGCAGCCGCGGUAAUACGGAGGGAGCUAGCGUUGUUCGGAAUUACUGGGCGUAAAGCGCACGUAGGCGGCUUUUUAAGUCAGGGGUGAAAUCCCGGGGCUCAACCCCGGAACUGCCCUUGAAACUGGGAAGCUAGAAUCUUGGAGAGGCGAGUGGAAUUCCGAGUGUAGAGGUGAAAUUCGUAGAUAUUCUGGAAGAACACCAGUGGCGAAGGCGACUCGCUGGACAAGUAUGACGCUGA
rnacentral:rRNA from 1 species